ACUCCCUCUAUCCCAAAAUAAAUACAGUUUUAGUCUUAUUUGAAAAAUUUAUAUGAUUAGUAUUUUUAUUGCUAUUAGAAGAUAAAACGUGAAUAGUAUUUUAUGUGUGACUAAAUAUUUUUAAAUUUUUCUAUAAAUUUUUUUAAAUAAGAUGGACGAUCAAAUGUUGGACACGGAUAUCUACGGUUGCACUUAUU
rnacentral:pre_miRNA from 1 species